UACACUGCGUGAGCGGACGAAAACAAAAACACCUAAAAUGUGGAAUAUAGCAUAUAGUCSACAAGAGAAAUCUACGAAAAACAAACAAAACUUUCAACAACGGAUCUCUUGGUUCUCGCAUCGAUGAAGAGCGCAGCGAAAUGCGAUACCUAGUGUGAAUUGCAGCCAUCGUGAAUCAUCGAGUUCUUGAACGCACAUUGCGCCCCUCGGCAUUCCGGGGGGCAUGCCUGUUUGAGCGUCGUUUCCAUCUUGCGCGUGCGCAGAGUUGGGGGAGCGGAGCGGACGACGUGUAAAGAGCGUCGGAGCUGCGACUCGCCUGAAAGGGAGCGAAGCUGGCCGAGCGAACUAGACUUUUUUUCAGGGACGCUUGGCGGCCGAGAGCGAGUGUUGCGAGACAACAAAAAGCUCGACCUCAAAUCAGGUAGGAAUACCCGCUGAACUUAAGCAUAU
rnacentral:rRNA from 1 species